rnacentral:rRNA from 1 species
UUAAAUUGAAGAGUUUGAUCAGGGCUCAGAUUGAACGCUGGCGGCAGGCCUAACACAUGCAAGUCGAACGGUAACAGGAAGCAGCGUGCUGCUUUGAUUACGAGUGGCGGACGGGGGGUGAAUGUCGGGG